rnacentral:lncRNA from 10 species
AUGAGCCCACCAGAAGGAAGAAACUCCAGACACAUCCGAACAUCAGAAGGAACAAACUCCGGACACGCCGCCUUUAAGAACUGUAACACUCACCGCAAGGGUCCGCGGCUUCAUUCUUGAAGUCAGUUAGACCAAGAACCCACCAAUUCUGGACACAACGGUGGCCCAUAACUGUAAUCCCAGGACUUUGGGAGGCUGAGGUGGGAAGAUUACUUGAGCCCAGGAGUUUAAGACCAGCCUAGGCAACACAGUGGAUCCCCAACUCUACAAAAACUUAAAAAGUUAGCUGAGCGUGGUGGUCCAUGCCUGUGGUCCCAGCUACUCAGGAGGCUGAGGUGGAAGGAUCACUUGAACCCAGGAGGUCAAGGCUGCAGCGAGUCAUAUUCAUGCCACUGUUCUCUAGCCUGGGUGACAGAGUGAGACCUGGUCUCAAAAAUAAAUAAAUAAGUAAAUAAUAAGUAAAUAAAACAUACCCCACCCCAGCCCGCCGAAUAGACUACAACUAUUUGACAGAAGAGGAUAGGAAUUAUUUACUUGCCUAUUGUAAGCGUCUUCCUGGAUUAUAGUAGAUAAGCCAUUUUACUACAUGAAUGAAUUAAUUGAAAGCUUAGACGGCUUGAGGACGAUGGGAGAAGAAGAAACCAGGAAAAAGGCAAGAAUGGAGUCUACACAGUAAGUACAAUGCCAGCCACUUAGCAGGUGCUCCAUCUAGAAGAAAGUAUGGCAUAGUGUCAAGCACCUUAGUAACAGAAAGCUUCAAUCUGGAAUAUUACACAGAGUACUUUUAGGGGACUCUCCAUUGUAGCUCUCAGCCUCCAGGCUAUCUUGCUUUCUCUUUCCCUUGGAACCAAAUUUAAAAAGAGACUUUGACUUUCUAUCUGGCCUCCUGAUGCAGCAAGUGGUGUUGAGUCUACAGCAUACCUCAGGAGGAGGUUUCUUUGCCCCCUACCACUCCGCUUCUCUUCAUUCCUUGCAUCUCACUCUCUCAUUCCCUACAAUUCCACCUUAUUGAUCACUUUUUACCAUAGAAAGGCUUCCUAUAGAAGCAGCCUUCUAAGCAAUGUCGACAAAGUGCCUCAGACCUCUGGCCCCAAUUGAUUCUGGUUUAAAGGUCUAUGCUUUCAUUCUUUCUUUCCCUCACUAAAAUUUUGAAAACAAUUGAGAAAAAAAAAACAGCUUUUCUGACAGUUUCUAACAGUUUGCAGCAUGCUUGCCUCACAGCCUUGUAUCGAGCCUUGUAGCUUUUAAGCCAAAGGAAUGACAUUUUAAAAGUUUCUCUUAUUGGUGUAUUCCAAUCAAGUUAAUUGUGUUCUAUAAGAAUUUUAAAAAGUAAAAAUGUACCUGCAAGAGUCACAAUUAAGGUAAAGAGAUGUAUUUCAUUAAAUGCUACUAUUAAAUGAUAUCAGUGAACAUCCAU